GGAGAUAGCUGGUUCUCCCCGAAAGCUAUUUAGGUAGCGCCUCGUGAAUUCAUCUCCGGGGGUAGAGCACUGUUUCGGCAAGGGGGUCAUCCCGACUUACCAACCCGAUGCAAACUGCGAAUACCGGAGAAUGUUAUCACGGGAGACACACGGCGGGUGCUAACGUCCGUCGUGAAGAGGGAAACAACCCAGACCGCCAGCUAAGGUCCCAAAGUCAUGGUUAAGUGGGAAACGAUGUGGGAAGGCCCAGACAGCCAGGAUGUUGGCUUAGAAGCAGCCAUCAUUUAAAGAAAGCGUAAUAGCUCACUGGUCGAGUCGGCCUGCGCGGAAGAUGUAACGGGGCUAAACCAUGCACCGAAGCUGCGGCAGCGACGCUUAUG
rnacentral:rRNA from 1 species